AGCAGCCGCGGUAAUUCCAGCUCCAAUAGCGUAUAUUAAAGUUGUUGCAGUUAAAAAGCUCGUAGUUGAAUUUCGGGGUUAGUAGGUUGGUCAUGCCUCUGGUAUGUACUGGUCUCACUGAUUCCUCCUUCCUGAUGAGCCGUAAUGCCAUUAAUUUGGUGUUGCGGGGAAUUUGGACUGUUACUUUGAAAAAAAUUUAGAGUGUUUAAAGCAAGCUAACGCUUGAAUACAUUAGCAUGGAAUAAUGAAACAGGACGUUCGAUCCUAUUUUGUUGGUUUCUAGGAUUGACGUAAUGAUUAAUAGGGAUAGUUGGGGGGCAUUAGUAUUCAAUUGUCAGAGGUGAAAUUCUUGGAUUUAUUGAAGACUAACUACUGCGAAAGCAUUUGCCAAGGAUGUUUUCAUUAAUCAAGAACGAAAGUUAGGGGAUCGAAGACGAUCAGAUACCGUCGUAGUCUUAACCAUAAACUAUGCCGACUAGGGAUCGGAUGAUGUUAAUUUUUUUAAUGACUCAUUCGGCGC
rnacentral:rRNA from 1 species